AACAUACUCCCUCCAUCCGGAAAUACUUGUCAUGAAACUAGAUAAAAGGGGAUGUAUCUAGAUGUAUUUUAGUUCUAGAUACAUCUCUUUUUAUCCAUUUUGAUGACCAGUAUUUUUGGACAGAGGGAGUACGUG
rnacentral:pre_miRNA from 1 species